rnacentral:rRNA from 1 species
CCUACGGGAGGCAGCAGUGAGGAAUCUUGCACAAUGGGGGCAACCCUGAUGCAGCAACGCCGCGUGGGUGAUGAAGGCUUUCGGGUCGUAAAACCCUUUUCUGGGGGGAGAGAAAGGACGGUACCUCAGGAAUAAGUCCCGGCUAACUACGUGCCAGCAGCCGCGGUAAAACGUAGGGGGCGAGCGUUAUCCGGAAUUAUUGGGCGUAAAGCGCGUGUAGGCGGCUCGGUAGGUUGGACGUGAAAGCUCCUGGCUCAACUGGGAGAGGUCGUUCAAAACCGCCAAGCUUGAGGACGGAAGAGGGGAGUGGAAUUCCCGGUGUAGUGGUGGAAUGCGUAGAUAUCGGGAGGAACACCCGUGGCGAAGGCGACUCCCUGGUCCGUUUCUGACGCUCAGACGCGAAAGCGUGGGUAGCGAACGGGAUUAGAUACCCGAGUAGUCC